AUUGAACGCUGGCGGCAGGCCUAACACAUGCAAGUCGAGCGAGCGGCGGACGGGUGAGUAAUGUAUGGGGACUGCCCGAUAGAGGGGGAUAACUACUGGAAACGGUGGCUAAUACCGCAUACUAUCGGAUAACCCAUAUGGGAUUAGCUAGUAGGGGGGGUAAAGGCUCACCUAGGCGACGAUCUCUAGCUGGUCUGAGAGGAUGAUCCGCCACAAGGGGAUGGAGAAACGGCCCAGACUCCUAGGGAGGCAGCAGGGGGGAAUAUUGCACAAUGGGCGCAAGCCUGAUGAAGCCAUGCCGCGGGGAUGAAGAAGGCCUUAGGGUUGUAAAGUACUUUCAGCGGGGAGGCGUUACCCGCAGAAGAAGCACCGGCUAACGCCGUGCCAGCCGCCGCGGUAAUAC
rnacentral:rRNA from 1 species